GCUCAGGAUGAACGCUGGCGGCGUGCCUAACACAUGCAAGUCGAGCGAAGCACUUUGCUUAGAUUCUUCGGAUGCAGAGGAUUGUGACUGAGCGGCGGACGGGUGAGUAACGCGUGGGUAACCUGCCUCAUACAGGGGGAUAACAGUUAGAAAUGACUGCUAAUACCGCAUAAGACCACAGCACCGCAUGGUGCGGGGGUAAAAACUCCGGUGGUAUGAGAUGGACCCGCGUCUGAUUAGCUAGUUGGUAAGGUAACGGCUUACCAAGGCGACGAUCAGUAGCCGACCUGAGAGGGUGACCGGCCACAUUGGGACUGAGACACGGCCCAAACUCCUACGGGAGGCAGCAGUA
rnacentral:rRNA from 1 species